ensembl:lncRNA MIR3681HG MIR3681 host gene
ACUCUCUCAAGGACAUUCUGAGGGUGAUAAACUCAGAGCAUGUGAGAUACAGGACUACAGGACAGGAAAAAAAGGACUCUGCUAAGGCCAUGAAGCCCAGGAACUUUCUCCACAUUCUCUAAUCUUUACACAGUCCUAAAGGAGGCUGUUGCAAUUAGGAUGGCGAAUGGUGAAAAACAGUGUGGUUGAAUUGAACAUAAGCUGAAGGGCUAGACAUCAUGGCUUCAAUCCUUGUGGAGAGUACUUCUCAGAAGUGAAUGUCAACUUCCUGAUGUUUAUACUCAAGGAGAAUGAGGUUUGGAGAUCUGAGUAGUUUACUGAAGGCACUCACAUUGAAAGAUUUUAUGAAGCUGAAAUUCAAAUCUAGAUGUGCCCCAUCCAAAGACCACCCUCUUUAUACAGCAACAUGCUGCUUCCCCUGGAUCAAGAAACACAAGGAGCCUUCAUCUACCACAUAAGAAUUGCAGCAAACCCUGCAGCUAUCCUGAAGCUGCCAUGCUGAAAAGGCCAAUUGGGAGACCACAUAGAGACCGAGAGAGACUUCCAAGGACUCCAGCCAAUCCUGGGCCCCAGCAGUUUGAAUCUCCCAGCAAUGCCACCAUACAGGAGAGGGAGCAAAUACUCAGAAGAUUCAAGUGCCAGCUGCAUGGGUUGAUACCUACAUAAAAGGCAUUGGCAUUAUUCACAAGAGCCAAGAUAUGGAAAUAACCUGUGUCCAUUGACAGACGAAUAGAUGAGGGAAACGUGGCAUAUACACACAGUGGAAUAUUAUUCGGAAUUAAAAAAAGAAGGAAAUCCUGAAUCCUGCUAUUUCUGACAACAUGAGACUGCAGGACGUUAUGAAAAUGGCCACAUCAUGCUCUUCUAGAACUUUCUCAUCCCUCAGUCAAGAGGUGGAGCCUAUUUACCCUUGACCUUGAAAUUGAUCAGGACUUUGUCACUGCCUUGCUCUUAACAUCACCAUGCUGGAGAAAUAGCAUGGCAAGGCCAGCUGGUGAUAGAGAAAGAUGCCUAAGGAGCUCCAGCUGCUAUUUUCCCUGGAUUUUUGAGUCUUCCCAGUCCAGCCAGACAUAUGACUGGGCAAAACCCUCAGGUAACUACAGCCUUAUCCACUGUCUGACUAUCACAAAAUGAGAGACCUUGGGUGAGGACCACCUACCUGAGCCCAGUCAUCCUGCAGAGAUGCGAGAAAAAUAAGAAUGUCAUUAUUGUUAUUUUAAAAUCACUGAGUUUGGGUUAAUUUGUAUGCAGCAAUAGAUAACUGGGACACAAAGAUAGACUGUAAAAAAAUAAAGAGGGAAUGGUUAAGCUAAAAACAUUGUGAUCAAAUCAAUGUUUAGUAAGUAAGCAAGAAAGAUGGCUAUCCAGGGAAGAGAGAUUGCACAACAAAAUGAAAAUGAAACAAGCAAAGAAACAAAGCAUGGAUUAUAACUUGUAAGAGAGAAAACCAUAUUAAGGGGAGUUAUUUGAAUAUUUUGUAUGAAAAUACAGAAAUCAGAUAUAAGUGAGCUGACACUGACUUUGGAGGCAGGAGGAAAACUGAUGGGGAAUUCUGGGAAAACAGAAUGAUACAAAGCAGAAUCCUCAAUGUCCCUACCCAAAACCUAAUGAAAUAAACAGAAA